UACGUAGGGGGCAAGCGUUGUCCGGAUUUAUUGGGCGUAAAGAGCGUGUAGGCGGCUGGGUAGGUCCGUUGUGAAAACUCGAGGCUCAACCUCGAGACGCCGAUGGAAACCCCCCAGCUAGAGUCCGGAAGAGGAGAGUGGAAUUCCUGGUGUAGCGGUGAAAUGCGCAGAUAUCAGGAGGAACACCAAUUGCGAAGGCAGCUCGCUGGGACGUUACUGACGCUGAGACGCGAAAGCGUGGGGAGCAAACAGG
rnacentral:rRNA from 1 species